rnacentral:rRNA from 1 species
AGUGAACGCUGGCGGUAGGCCUAACACAUGCAAGUCGAACGGCAGCACAGUAAGAGCUUGCUCUUACGGGUGGCGAGUGGCGGACGGGUGAGGAAUACAUCGGAAUCUACUUUUUCGUGGGGGAUAACGUAAGGAAACUUACGCUAAUACCGCAUACGACCUACGGGUGAAAGCAGGGGAUCUUCGGACCUUGCGCGAUUGAAUGAGCCGAUGUCGGAUUGGCUAGUUGGCGGGGUAAAGGCCCACCAAGGCGACGAUCCGUAGCUGGUCUGAGAGGAUGAUCAGCCACACUGGAACUGAGACACGGUCCAGACUCCUACGGGAGGCAGCAGUGGGGAAUAUUGGACAAUGGGCGCAAGCCUGAUCCAGACAUACCGCGUGGGUGAAGAAGGCCUUCGGGUUGUAAAGCCCUUUUGUUGGGAAAGAAAAGCAGCAGGUUAAUACCCCGCUGUUCUGACGGUACCCAAAGAAUAAGCACCGGCUAACUUCGUG